rnacentral:rRNA from 1 species
AUUCCAGCUCCAAUAGCGUAUAUUAAAGUUGUUGCAGUUAAAAAGCUCGUAGUUGGAUUUCGGGACGGGCCAGUCGGUCCACCGCAAGGUGUGUCACUGACUGGUCUGUUCUUCUUCGCAAAGACUGCAUGUGCACUUCACUGUGUGGGUGUAGGAUUUACGACGUUUACUUUGAAAAAAUUAGAGUGUUCAAAGCAGGCUAUCGCUUGAAUACAUGAGCAUGGAAUAAUGGAAUAGGACUUUGGUUCUAUUUUGUUGGUUUCUAGGACCGAAGUAAUGAUUAAGAGGGACAAUUGGGGGCAUCCGUAUUUCGUUGUCAGAGGUGAAAUUCUUGGAUUUACGAAAGACGAACAACUGCGAAAGCACUUGCCAAGAGUGUUUUCAUUA